GUGAACUCCGGGGGAUGGUGACGGACAGGGAGGCCCGGUAUGCUGCGAUUCAUGGGGUCUCAAAGAGUCGAACAGGACUGAGAGACUGAACUGAACUGAACUGAACUGGAGAGGGAUCUAGGGAGGUCGGGGUAAAGCUUUGGAACUCUCAGGGCAGAGGAUUGGGCUGAGGUCUCAGGGUUUAUCUCAAGCACAAGCAGGGGAGAGGUGCUGGGAGCAGCGGUGGCCUCGGCCUGCCCUUGAGAGGGAGGGAGGGAGGGAGGAGGGGACAUAAGGGGGAGGUUGUGGAACUGGAUCUGGAGCGGCUACAAGGGGAUUGGGAGUGAUAGAGGGUGGGCUGUGGUCAGAAAGGUGGAAGGAAGAAGAAGAAAAGUCUGAACAAGGAUUGGGAGACAUUGUAUUAGAAGGAUGUGGCUUAGAGUGGGCUACGAGUAUUUGAGAAGUAGAAGGGGAUUCACAGAAAGAGGGUCGAGAGCGAAGAGCAAAGAAAGCCUGAAGAUAAGGAAUUUCUAACCACUUGCCAUUGCGGCAGCAGAAGUUAUCGAGCUCCCUUAGAGUAUAGUAAUCCAGAGUUCCGUUUUCUGGCCAAUGGGACCUGUUAUCAAGUCGGUUUUGCAGCCAGACAGUGUUAGAAUAUUUCUUACUCACAUUACAAGCCUGGGAAUCAGCAAACCAAGCCUUCAGAGGAUGUAAACAGAAGGCCUGAGAAACAGCAGAUUAAUCAAAAAGAAAAUGGAAGGUAUAGUGCCCUAUUCUAGGGGAUCUUCCUGAUCCAGGAAUCAUCAAACCCCUGUCUCAUAUGUUUCCUGCAUUGGCAGACAGGUUCUUUACUGCUAGCACCACCUGGGAAACCUGCAUAUAAAAGGAGAAGUAAACAAGAGAGAAGUAGCCCAAGGUUAUGGAACUUAAACACUGUCAGAUUUGGGUUUUGUAGAUAUCCUGAAAAAAAAAAAAAAUUAGCAGCAUU